UGAGGAAUAUUGGACAAUGGGCGCAAGCCUGAUCCAGCCAUGCCGCGUGCAGGAAGAAGCAUCUAUGGUGUGUAAACUGCUUUUGUACGGGAAGAAACACUCCUUCGUGAAGGAGCUUGACGGUACCGUAAUAAUAAGGAUCGGCCAACUCCGUGCCAGCAGCCGCGUUAAUACGGAGGAUCCAAGCGUUAUCCGGAAUCAUUGGGUUUAAAGGGUCCGUAGGCGGUUUAGUAAGUCAGUGGUGAAAGCCCAUCGCUUAACGAUGAAAAGGCCAUGGAUACUGCUAGACUUGAAUUAUUAGGAAGAAACUAGAAUAUGUAGUGUAGCGGUGAAAUGCCUAGAUAUUACAGGGAAUACCAAUUGCGAAGGCAGGUUACUACUGAUGGAUUGACGCUGAUGGACGAAAGCGUGGGGAGCGAACA
rnacentral:rRNA from 1 species